UGCAGAUUCAUGAUAGGAUCCUCAACAGAAGCAGUAAAGUUCAUUGCUGGAACGAAUGGCAUAUUGGCAUGCUGAACAAAUGGAUUGUUGGAGGGGUAGUUAACAGAUUGGUAGAAGGAUGCAUUUGUGUUGGCAAGGUUGGUCAUAGGUGCUUUGACGACAGGCUUCUGUUCAACACUUGACUUGGGUGCUUUAGCAGAAGCUGAGCCAGAACGGCGCUUCUGACCAACUGCUGGUGCAUCAGGAAAGUUAACCUUGGCCUUCUUGCCACGAAUCCUGCGUGCUUCAGCAUCAUAAGCUCUUGCAGCUUCCUCAGGACUAUUGAAAGUACCAAGCCAAACACGAACACCCUUCUGAGGAUCUCUGAUCUCAGCAGCCCACUUGCCCCAAGGGCGCUUGCGGAUACCCCUGUAUUGAUUCUUUCUCUUCCUUUUGGCUGACCUUGCAACAGGGGCAUCAUAAUCA
rnacentral:lncRNA from 1 species